UACGUAGGGCGCAAGCGUUGUCCGGAAUUAUUGGGCGUAAAGAGCUCGUAGGCGGUUUGUCGCGUCUGCCGUGAAAGUCCGGGGCUCAACUCCGGAUCUGCGGUGGGUACGGGCAGACUAGAGUGAUGUAGGGGAGACUGGAAUUCCUGGUGUAGCGGUGAAAUGCGCAGAUAUCAGGAGGAACACCGGUGGCGAAGGCGGGUCUCUGGGCCGAAACUGACGCUGAGGAGCGAAAGCGUGGGGAGCAAACAGA
rnacentral:rRNA from 1 species